CGCCCCUGGCUUCCCUUCAAGACGCCUAAAUCUUUCGGAUUUUACUGAAGGUAUCUGUGGAGGGGAGCAAGCCUGUGAGUCUUACGAUUAUUAGUUAUUGAUGUUAUCUUGAGA